rnacentral:rRNA from 1 species
GACGAACGCUGGCGGCGUGCCUAAUACAUGCAAGUAGAACGCUGAAGAGAGGAGCUUACUCUUCUUGGAUGAGUUGCGAACGGGUGAGUAACGCGUAGGUAACCUGCCUUGUAGCGGGGGAUAACUAUUGGAAACGAUAGCUAAUACCGCAUAACAAUGGAUGACACAUGUCAUUUAUUUGAAAGGGGCAAUUGCUCCACUACAAGAUGGACCUGCGUUGUAUUAGCUAGUAGGUGAGGUAAUGGCUCACCUAGGCGACGAUACAUAGCCGACCUGAGAGGUGAAUGGCCCCCCUGGGAACGAGACCCGGCCCAGACUCCCUCGGGGGGGCACCAGAGGGAAUUCUUGGGAAAUGGGGCAACCCUGACCGAGCAACGCCGCGUGAGUGAAGAAGGUUUUCGGAUCGUAAAGCUCUGUUGUAAGUCAAGAACGGGUGUGAGAGUGGAAAGUUCACACUGUGACGGUAGCUUACCAGAAAGGGACGGCUAACUACGUG